rnacentral:rRNA from 1 species
GAUGAACGCUGGCGGCGUGCCUAAUACAUGCAAGUCGAGCGAACAGACGAGGAGCUUGCUCCUCUGACGUUAGCGGCGGACGGGUGAGUAACACGUGGAUAACCUACCUAUAAUACUGGGAGAACUUCGGGAAACCGGAGCUAAUACCGGAUAAUAUAUUGAACCGCAUGGUUCAAUAGUGAAAGACGGUUUUGCUGUCACUUAUAGAUGGAUCCGCGCCGCAUUAGCUAGUUGGUAAGGUAACGGCUUACCAAGGCAACGAUGCGUAGCCGACCUGAGAGGGUGAUCGGCCACACUGGAACUGAGACACGGUCCAGACUCCUACGGGAGGCAGCAGUAGGGAAUCUUCCGCAAUGGGCGAAAGCUUGACGGAGCAACGCCGCGUGAGUGAUGAAGGUCUUCGGAUCGUAAAACUCUGUUAUUAGGGAAGAACAAAUGUGUAAGUAACUAUGCACGUCUUGACGGUACCUAAUCAGAAAGCCACGGCUAACUACGUG